rnacentral:lncRNA from 1 species
CGCACUCAAGUGAGGAAUGGGGAAGGAGGGUGGAGGAAGGAGCUUGUAAAUGAGCAGCUGGUUUGCAGCAAAACCGCACCUCACUCUGCACCUUUGGAUCCCUCUCAGCCUGAGGUUAGCACAGCCAAUGUCCUCACCAGCGUCUGCCAAAGCCCAUGGAGAAGGCCAGCAGGAGCAUAUCACUGUGACUUACAACCCUUCUCUAGUCUGCUACAAUGGAAUCUUAAACAAGAAAAUUUUAUAUUUUGACUUGCAUCAUUGAGAAAAACACUGCCAACCUGAUCGUGGUUCCUUUGAAGAGCAUGGAAGGAAGCAAUGAAAAAAGCCUCACUCCUGGUUGCACACCUGGGAUUCUGUACCUGACGGACACCAUCCAUCCUUUUAGAUGAUGCAUUGAGUCCUAACUAUUCCCUUCCCAAGAAAGUUCAAGCCAGGAGAUCAAUCUGCUUGGGAUGGAAAGAAUCACUGCAGCAGGUGCGAGAGAGGACUCAUGGAGCUUGCAGAUGAGCUAGCCCAGUUUUUAGAGUACUUCGUCCACGGCGCCAAGGUGUCUAGGGCAGAGACACCACAACCUCCUAAGGUAGGUUAUGCCAUUAAUGUUCCACUUGGGUGGGAAUACACACACACCCACACACACACUAUAAUUCACACUUCCUUAUAGUUAUAUUCCUCAUUCUUUGAACUUAAUCCAUGGUAAAGAAUUAUUUAUUAUGGUGGGGUAGAAGGAGACCCUUUGAGAUUUGAAGACACUGAUUAACCAUGUUAGUGUUUUUCCUCAGGCAAAAUAUUCAUGGGCUCUUUUACCAUAACUUGCUGUCCUUAUUUCCUCAUUAAAUUUCAAGUUUCCACAAAAUAAGAAAAGAAACAACUAAAGAAGAAAUUGUUGGAAGGCAUGGAGCAAAGUGUAAGAACAACUAAGUAAACAUGUACAUUUUGCAUUUUUAAAAAAUUCAGUGGCCAUAAUACCACUGGCCAACAGGCUGAUCAAAUAAUCCCUGAAACAAAGAGUUAUAUGUUACGGAGGGGAUUGAAUCAGAAUACAGAAAAGAGAGACUUGAGAGGUUAAGACAAAACAUCCUGGGAAAUACACCUAUUAAAAUAUGGUAACUAGCUGUUCUCCAUUUCUUUCAAGACAGAAUGGGAAAUGGAGGUAAACACAGCAAGAGUAUUAGUCGGUUAGACAACAGGAAUAUUUUGCUGAUUUUUGUUGUUGUUGUUUUGUUUUUGUUUUUGUUUUUGAGACAGUGUCUUGCUGCGACACCCA